rnacentral:rRNA from 1 species
GAUGAACGCUGACAGAAUGCUUAACACAUGCAAGUCUACUUGAUCCUUCGGGUGAAGGUGGCGGACGGGUGAGUAACGCGUAAAGAACUUGCCUUACAGACUGGGACAACAUUUGGAAACGAAUGCUAAUACCGGAUAUUAUGACUGGGUCGCAUGAUCUGGUUAUGAAAGCUAUAUGCGCUGUGAGAGAGCUUUGCGUCCCAUUAGUUAGUUGGUGAGGUAACGGCUCACCAAGACGAUGAUGGGUAGCCGGCCUGAGAGGGUGAACGGCCACAAGGGGACUGAGACACGGCCCUUACUCCUACGGGAGGCAGCAGUGGGGAAUAUUGGACAAUGGACCAAAAGUCUGAUCCAGCAAUUCUGUGUGCACGAAGAAGUUUUUCGGAAUGUAAAGUGCUUUCAGUUGGGAAGAAGUCAGUGACGGUACCAACAGAAGAAGCGACGGCUAAAUACGUGCCAGCAGCCGCGGUAAUACGUAUGUCGCAAGCGUUAUCCGGAUUUAUUGGGCGUAAAGCGCGUCUAGGCGGUUUAGUAAGUCUGAUGUGAAAAUGCGGGGCUCAACCCCGUAUUGCGUUGGAAACUGCUAAACUAGAGUACUGGAGAGGUAGGCGGAACUACAAGUGUAGAGGUGAAAUUCGUAGAUAUUUGUAGGAAUGCCGAUGGGGAAGCCAGCCUACUGGACAGAUACUGACGCUAAAGCGCGAAAGCGUGGGUAGCAAACAGG